CUUCCUUCGUAGACUCGCACCAGCAACUGCAGUGAAUUUUUUGACCUUCAGAUUUGGACAGGUGCUGCAUCCUUGACUCCUCUUGUUCUUCAAAGAAAUACCUAGCGUGGAGCCUGGUGCAUGGCUCCUGCUGAAACCACUGUGUCCUGCUACCUCACUGCUUUCUCGAACAUUGAACCAGCCUGUCUCAGAGGAGGUGGUAGAAGAGAGAAGACCGAACUGAGGAAAGUUUCUCAGACAGUUCUCGUGAAUCACCCAAGUCCCACAGCUUCAGAGAAACAGAGUCCUCAGGCACUUCUCCACGUGCUCUCCACAAGGACAAGUGAGGGAGAGUGCAGAAGGUUCCCCUGGAUCUGCAGACUCCCUGGCCCUUCCUCACAGCACUGGAGAUGCGAGAGACGAGAUCCGGGCAACGUGGUGUUGCACUGUGAGCAUGGGAUGGGAGCCAAGAGUUUCUAGUUCCAGCUCCAUGCCAGAUUUACCAGGACCCUAAUGCCAUCUCCAGCCUCUGCCUCACUUGGGAGCCCCAGUUCAACCCUCUUCUCUGGUGUGUGUCCUUCUCCAUUAGAAUCACCAGAAGAGAAAUCCCAGGGCUGGCAAAGACUCAAGCCCUGGAGUCCUCAGCAGCAGCAUCCGCACGAGAGCCUCUCCUGCCAGGCUGAGCACAAAGGAAGGCAUUAUCCUGAGAGGAGAAGAGGAGUCACUGAGGACCACCUGCUCAGGCAAUUCUGUGAUAAAAGGAAGUGAGACUGAAAAUUGGACAAUUGUUACUAAGUAGCUGAGGACCCAGCUGAGUGGGGUUUUCUUUAAUAAGGAUAAUAGAAGCCAGCUUUAAAGGCAGAUGGAGAUUUUCCAGAACCUAAGGGUUUGCAAAGAACAACAGGAGAGGGAGCCAGGCUCAGGGAAGGACAUGUCUUCACAUCCUUGUGACAAGCAAGGAGUGGAGUUCUUUUCUUACAGGCUUUAGAAGCACUUUACAUGUGUCGUCAUUUACAUCUUUUCCUCCUGUUAAAGGCACACUCUUCGUGAGCACUUAAAAGGAAGCAAUCUCUAAGACUUGGUGAGGGCUCCUAGGAAUUCCUACAAAGGACUGAACAUUUCAUUGCUUCCUAAGCUGCAGAGAAAGUAAAUCGUAACCAAGUCCUUAUUUCCAUGGAAAAGAUGCGUGAAAAGCUGAUUUAGAACUAGUUAGUACAUGGAAUUAAUUCAUUGCACGUUACCAAGUGUCAAGUACCAUACUGGGUUUUCCAUGUUUUGUGUCAAUGAAUCACGUUAUUGCCUGUUUACAGAUGAAGAAAAUAGCUCUCAGAGAUGGGUGGUUUAUUUGAGCCCCGGGUAGCCUAGGAGUGAGUGUCAGCCGCACUGUAGUCCUGUCUCCAGGCUGAGAUGGAGCACGUCCACUCCACCAGGCCUGGAAAGAUACCAAAACAUGCUCCUAGCCACAGUCGUGCUGUGCUGAAUACCACAUAUGCACAUGCUGUAGGUGUACACAAAGCACACAACCCUACCAGUACAAACAUGCCUCUGUACUAGGGCCACCUGCAGGAGGUCUUGCCUAUUUUCACUUCCUGUCUUCAUCUGAUGGAGAGAGUACUUCUCAUUCUGCUGCUGGAGACUCCGGAAAAGGCAAGGACCCUCUGGGAAAGCACUCUAAAGUCCAGCGAAUGAGCUGUCUCAAGGGUGUGGAUGUAGAGAAGCCGCCGGAAAGAGCCCCUAAAUCCACAGCCAGAUUCACACUCAUUUGCCCAGUUUUGCUUGGGUCAACAGUAUGACCUCAGUGAGUCGCUGAACUUCUCUACUCCCCAGGGCCACCUCUGUUAAGAUGGAGAUAGACACUCCCAUUCCAUGGUGUUGCUCUGAGGAGUGGCAGGUCCUGAGCAGAGUUGGUACAGCAUGCCUGUGCUGCCCAGCAGUCGACCCCAAACCAUUCUGCCACAUUCCCAUGCUGCCACCUUCUGAUGCCAAAGCCAUCACCGCACCCUGUCAACAGCCCCGAGGGAAAAGAAGGUGGCAGAGAGUCGGGGGGUGGGGAUGGGGGGAGGGUUAAGACCCUCAGCUGCUCCAGAGAGGCAGGGCUGACAAGGCGAGGAUUGUUUUUCUCCCCUGGUGUGAAGCAUGUUGACUUGCUGUUGAUAGAUUGUGGGAUGAUAUUAAUUAAAAUUCAGGCAGGUGUGAGGGCGCCUCUUAGAGCAGCGCUCUCCCAGGAGGAAGGGAAGGCAUGGGGCUCUGUUUUGUAGCCCUAAGUGGGAAAAGAGUGUCCUCUUACCCUCUCCCCCUCCUUCCGGGAGCAGGUGUGACUUGGAGAAAAGGGUCUGGAUUUCCUCUUCACUGGCGCAGGCAGGUCAUAGGCACACUGGGCUCCAAGUAGAAGCACAGUGAGGUCCUCCCAUCCCUAUACAUGAGAUAACAGGAGUGGUAGAGCCUCUGCGAUAUUUCCUUGAGCCACAAGAUCUGCCUUUGGAGAGUGUGCUCAAGGGAGCACUUACCUUUUCUGCUUUCUUCUGCCAUCUGUCUUCAGGACACAGGACUGGAGUGCAGAGGGCUUUCUGCAAGGGAAAGUCGGAUGGUCUGAGGCAGAGCCGCAGGGAAAAGCUGACCCACAAACACCAUGAACAACAGCACGCGGUCUAUGCCCAGAGGCCCAGUGGCUGAAUUUUUGAAGUUGGAAGAAUUAAAGACUAAAGCAACAGUGGAGGAAAAACAAGAAAGCUGAGCACAGAGUCACUGCCGCACACAGCCAAGGGACAAGCCCCGUUUCAGCUUCACAACCAUAAAGCUUCAUCUGCAAGCCUUGCACUCCAGCCCUUUCUGAUCUCCAACUUCCUCCUUCUUGCGUCUUCCUAUAAGCAUAAGUGACUCCCAAGGACUCCUAGUUUCGAAGUGUUGGCGUUGGAAAUGGCAAGGAUUAUUGAAGAUCUCGGCAGUCCGGUGACGUGAUGAAAAUGGUAGAACUGAUAUUUAAACAGCCCAUCUGUCCAAACUGAACCUAGAGCCAUUCUGUUCCCUAAAAACGUAUUUGAACAGGAGUCGGGGAGAUGUCGAAGGGUGCCUACCUCCAUUACCGUAUCUCUACCGACCUCAUAAAGAAAACAGAGG
rnacentral:lncRNA from 1 species